CUUGGUCAUUUAGAGGAAGUAAAAGUCGUAACAAGGUCUCCGUAGGUGAACCUGCGGAGGGAUCAUUACACAAAUAUGAAGGCGGGCUGGAACCUCUCGGGGUUACAGCCUUGCUGAAUUAUUCACCCUUGUCUUUUGCGUACUUCUUGUUUCCUUGGUGGGUUCGCCCACCACUAGGACAAACAUAAACCUUUUGUAAUUGCAAUCAGCGUCAGUAACAAAUUAAUAAUUACAAUUUUCAACAACGGAUCUCUUGGUUCUGGCAUCGAUGAAGAACGCAGCGAAAUGCGAUAAGUAGUGUGAAUUGCAGAAUUCAGUGAAUCAUCGAAUCUUUGAACGCACAUUGCGCCCUUUGGUAUUCCAAAGGGCAUGCCUGUUCGAGCGUCAUUUGUACCCUCAAGCUUUGCUUGGUGUUGGGCGUCUUGUCUCUAGCUUUGCUGGAGACUCGCCUUAAAGUAAUUGGCAGCCGGCCUACUGGUUUCGGAGCGCAGCACAAGUCGCACUCUCUAUCAGCAAAGGUCUAGCAUCCAUUAAGCCUUUUUUUCAACUUUUGACCUCGGAUCAGGUAGGGAUACCCGCUGAACUUAAGCAUAUCAAUAAGCGGAGGA
rnacentral:rRNA from 1 species